rnacentral:rRNA from 1 species
UACGUAGGGGGCAAGCGUUGUCCGGAUUUAUUGGGCGUAAAGAGCUCGUAGGCGGUUCGGCAAGUCGGGUGUGAAACCCCCAGGCUCAACCUGGGGACGCCACCCGAUACUGCUGUGACUGGAGUCCGGUAGGGGAGCGUGGAAUUCCUGGUGUAGCGGUGAAAUGCGCAGAUAUCAGGAGGAACACCGAUGGCGAAGGCAGGUCUCUGGGCCAUAACUGACGCUGAGAAGCGAAAGCAUGGGGAGCGAACAGG